UAUGCUGUGUGUGCGUAUAUGCCUUGAAUGUGAAUAGAAGUCUAAAUUUAAACUGUUAAAUUAUAUAGACUAGAGUGAUCAUGCCACUUUAGAACACUUGUAAGAGACCACGCGAUUCAUAUGGAUUACUUUUUUUUUCUGAUUAACUUUUUGAUACUUUAACAGUUUUGGCGAAUCGUCUUUCAUUGCAGAAGUAUAAAUCUCUUAGAUUUCAUUCAAAUAUCUAUAUAUAGUUUUUCUUUCGUGUGGCUUUUGGAACCCCGUUAUUUUGUGACUCCAGGUAAGAUUUGUAUUUAAUUAACUUUACUUGUCUGUGCCUGUCGUAUUUUUGAUACAAAGUGUAACAGCGUGUCUUCUUCAGUGCAGCUACAUUCAAUUUGACCAAUCAGAUGCGAACAGAUGAAGAUGCUGCCUGCAGAAGUAACUGAUUUAAGUUGUGUAUUUAUUUCUGAUUUCCUUCAGAAACAAUUUGGCUUCAUUCAUCAAUGAGAUCAGCUCCUAUAAAAGACAAACUGAAAUCUGAGUGCAGAGACAAGCGAACAAGAGUAUGUUUUAAUGUCGUAACACCUCUGUUAUAAAGAUUUUUCGGGACUAAUAGAGGGUGAUUCAGUCAAUCUUGGAAGGAAAAGGUUAGCAACAUGUUCAUUCACAAGUCUAAUUUGUGCUUCCUUUGAGUCAUUCAUGUGAAAUUUAUUUUUUAAUUGUUUCUGUUUUUGGAAAAAGCUGUAGAGUACUUGUCCUAGUUGUCCUGGCAUAUAAUAUUUUACAAAUUCUAAUUGCUUUAUAUCUUCGCAACAGAGGUGUAGAGAGCCCAAUCUGGAAUCUUCCCUAUAUGUCAUCAUAAGGGGAAAGGUUACCUUCCCUUUCUCUGCUUUCCCCCCCAUGAGAAAAUGAGUUACUAUUGCAGAGCUUGAUGUAAUUGUAAUAAGAAAGAUUGUAAAAACUUUUAAGAUUUAUGAAAUAUAAAGUAUGUAAACAAACUAAAUGAUGUUGGCAUGGUAGCACAUUUUCCACAAUGGGCACCUAUCCGAAAAGGUAUUUGUAAUAAUGGCAGAGGACUAAUUUAGUUGCGCUGGUUAGUGUCUAUAGCUGAUAAUUACACUCACCUAAUUAUUAGGAUUAUUAG